GACAACGUGGCCGAGUGGUUAAGGCGUUUGACUCGAAUUAUCCAAUUCAAGCAUAUCAAAUUUCUUCGGAAGCACAGGUUCGAGUCCUGUCGUUGUCG